rnacentral:ncRNA from 12 species
CUUGCUUAGGUCUGUGGUUGAAAAUCGAUGCCAGUCGCAGGCGAAACGAUCCACGUAAGGAGCUCAAAAAGGGCUCUGAGCAUGGUGCGGCUUAGAAGUAAGUCCUGCCGUCCGGUGGUAAAUUUCUCAAGUGAAUUUAUUAUGGGACGAGAGGGGUAGUAGUGAGGAGGUAAUACUUAGUAGCGAACCCUCCAGCAGGCGGGUGUGGGGGCAAAGACCAGGUCGGCUAAGCAAA